UACGAAGGGGGCUAGCGUUGUUCGGAAUCACUGGGCGUAAAGGGCGCGUAGGCGGCCAAUCAAGUCGGGGGUGAAAGCCUGUGGCUCAACCACAGAAUUGCCUUCGAUACUGUUUGGCUCGAGACCGGAAGAGGUAAGUGGAACUGCGAGUGUAGAGGUGAAAUUCGUAGAUAUUCGCAAGAACACCAGUGGCGAAGGCGGCUUACUGGUCCGGUUCUGACGCUGAGGCGCGAAAGCGUGGGGAGCAAACAGG
rnacentral:rRNA from 1 species